rnacentral:rRNA from 1 species
AAUGGGCGAAAGCCUGACGGAGCAAUACCGCGUGAGGGAGGAAGGCUCUUGGGUCGUAAACCUCUUUUCUCAGGGAAGAACACAAUGACGGUACCUGAGGAAUAAGCAUCGGCUAACUCCGUGCCAGCAGCCGCGGUAAUACGGAGGAUGCAAGCGUUAUCCGGAAUGAUUGGGCGUAAAGCGUCCGCAGGUGGCGAUGUAAGUCUGCUGUUAAAGAGUCUAGCUCAACUAGAUAAGAGCAGUGGAAACUACAUAGCUAGAGUACGUUCGGGGCAGAGGGAAUUCCUGGUGUAGCGGUGAAAUGCGUAGAGAUCAGGAAGAACACCAGUGGCGAAGGCGCUCUGCUAGGCCGUAACUGACACUGAGGGACGAAAGCUAGGGGAGCGAAUGGGAUUAGAUA